UCCUUGGUGGUCCAAUGGUUAGGACUCUGCCCUUUCACGGCAGGAGGUGUGGGUUCCACCCCUGGUCCAGGAA
rnacentral:tRNA from 1 species